rnacentral:tRNA from 2 species
GUGACUAUAGUUCAAUGGCAGAACACUGGUCUGUGGCACCAGGUAUGAGGGUCCGAUUCCCUCUAGUCACCCUA